UACGAAGGGGGCUAGCGUUGUUCGGAUUUACUGGGCGUAAAGCGCACGUAGGCGGAUCGUUAAGUCGGGGGUGAAAGCCUGGAGCUCAACUCCAGAACUGCCUUUGAGACUGCAUCGCUUGAAUCCAGGAGAGGUGAGUGGAAUUCCGAGUGUAGAGGUGAAAUUCGUAGAUAUUCGGAAGAACACCAGUGGCGAAGGCGGCUCACUGGACUGGUAUUGACGCUGAGGUGCGAAAGCGUGGGGAGUAAACAGG
rnacentral:rRNA from 1 species